GGAAAGAUAACGGUGGUUGUUUACCCGUCUUGGACGCGGGAGGUCAUAGGUUCGAAUCCUAUUCUCCA
rnacentral:tRNA from 1 species